rnacentral:tRNA from 1 species
GAGUUAGUAGCCUAAAGGAGAGGCGGCAGUCUUCGAAACUGUUUAAUGUAGGUUCGAUUCCUAUCUAACUCGCCA